rnacentral:lncRNA from 1 species
UAGCCCUCUCCCAAAAUCUACACAUGAUUCACAAAAUAAGCCUAGAGAUUUUGAAUAGAAAUCCAUAGUGUCAAAACCAUUUUGACCCAUUGUGAUCUUCCUGAGCACUUUGUAACAGAAGAAUUACUCUAUUUUUCCAUAGUCAAAAAAUCAGUGUAAACUAAGAACUGGCAUUUUCUUGCAUUUCAAAAUGUUGAUGCUCUUUCAAGGUACUUUUCAGCCCUACAUUUCUGACCAUCUAUACAACAUUUAUCAAAGCUAUUAAAAAGAGAUAUGCAUAUGGGUGUAGCUGUUUAGCGGCUGCUUUGAACAGGACUUGUAUGGGACAUACCUCCAGGGACCUACAUCACCGACAAGCACUCAGUAUCUAAGAUGAGCUGGUUUUCUGCUAUGGCUGUCACUAGUGUGAUUUUUGUUUAUACGUGGGUGUUUGGAGCAUUUUUGCUACAGAGUUUUCAGUUGUCACUUUGAAUCCCACUAUUAGGUAAGGAUUGCCAUAAAAACCCUUGCAUUUUUUCCUUCAGCAUAAAGAGGUCUUACUUACUGUGACUGAUUUUGAAUCAACUGCAAGGGAGCAAAAGACUAAAGAAUAAAACUUGAAUGGAAAUUUAAUGUCUCUGAUCG